rnacentral:lncRNA from 1 species
UUUGAUCUCGUCACCCUGAAUCGGUCAUUAAAAGGGGAUGUCCUCACAGUUGCGCAAAUUGCCGGGAUAAAUGCAGCAAAAAAUACCCACAACCUCAUCCCUCUAUGCCACCAGCUCUUACUUCGUAACGUAGACGUUCGCCUCACUUUGGACCCUAGAACAUGUGCCGUAGUCAUCUUCGCAAGUGCACUGACGGAAGGUCAGACUGGAGUCGAAAUGGAAGCUCUCACCGCCGCAAGUGUUGCCAGUCUUACUGUUUAUGACAUGUGCAAGGCUGUUAGCAGGGAGCUCAAGAUAUCUGAGGUAAAGCUUGAAUCGAAAACUGGUGGCAAAUGUGACUAUUUCAGAAGGCGGCGAUAGAAGAUACG